rnacentral:rRNA from 1 species
CCCGGACGCGGAAUGAAAGUGAACGGAGGUGGGAACCCUCUCGGGGAGGCACCAUCGACCGAUCCGGAUGUCUUCAGAUGGAUUUGAGUAGGAGCAUAGCUGUUGGGACCCGAAAGAUGGUGAACUAUGCCUGAAUAGGGUGAAGCCAGAGGAAACUCUGGUGGAGGCUCGCAGCGGUUCUGACGUGCAAAUCGAUCGUCGAAUUUGGGUAUAGGGGCGAAAGACCAAUCGAACCAUCUAGUAGCUGGUUCCUGUCGAAGUUUCCCUCAGGAUAGCAGUAACGUUCCCCAGUUUUAUGAGGUAAAGCGAAUGAUUAGAGGCCUGGGGGUCGCAACGACCUUCACCUAUUCUCAAACUUUAAAUAUGUAAGAAGUCCCUGUUGCUUCGGUGAACGGGGACCGUCGAAUGGGUCGUUAUUAGUGGGCCAUUUUUGGUAAGCAGAACUGGCGAUGCGGGAUGAACCGAACGCGAGGUUAAGGUGCCGGAAUGCACGCUCAUCAGACACCACAAAAGGUGUUAAUUCAUCCAGACAGCCGGACGGUGGCCAUGGAAGUCGGAAUCCGCUAAGGAGUGUGUAACAACUCACCGGCCGAAUGAAUUAGCCCUGAAAAUGGAUGGCGCUCAAGCGUGCUACCCAUACCUCGCCGCCCGGGUGGAUCCGAUGCCCGGGCGAGUAGGCAGGCGUGGGGGUCCGUGACGAAGCCUCGGGGGUGACCCCGGGUCGAACGGCCCCAGUG